UACCUGGUUGAUCCUGCCAGUAAUCAUAUGCUUGUCUCAAAGAUUAAGCCAUGCAUGUCUAAGUACAUGCCGAAAUAAGGCGAAACCGCGAAUGGCUCAUUAAAUCAGUUAUGGUUCCUUAGAUCGUUUCUUCCUACUUGGAUAACUGUGGCAAUUCUAGAGCUAAUACAUGCAGUGAGCCUGAAGCCCUUUGGGCGACGGGUGCUUUUAUUAGACCAAGAUCGAUCGGGUUUCGGCCCGUAUUGUGUGGUGACUCUGGAUAACUUUGUGCUGAUCGCAUGGCCACGAGCCGGCGACGUUUCUUUCAAGUGUCUGCCUUAUCAACUUUCGAUGGUAGGUUACUUGCUUACCAUGGUUGUUACGGGUAACGGAGAAUCAGGGUUCGAUUCCGGAGAGGGAGCCUGAGAAACGGCUACCACAUCCAAGGAAGGCAGCAGGCGCGCAAAUUACCCACUCCCGGCACGGGGAGGUAGUGACGAAAAAUAACAAUACGGGACUCUUUUGAGGCCCCGUAAUUGAAAUGAGUACACUCUAAAUCCUUUAACGAGGAUCAAUUGGAGGGCAAGUCUGGUGCCAGCAGCCGCGGUAAUUCCAGCUCCAAUAGCGUAUACUAAAGCUGCUGCGGUUAAAAAGCUCGUAGUUGGAUCUCAGUUCCAGACGAGUAGUGCAUCUACCCGAUGCGACGGCUCGGACUGAACAUCAUGCCGGUCCUUUCUUGGUGCACUUCAUUGUGUGCCUCGAGAAGGCCGGUGCUUUUACUUUGAAAAAAUUAGAGUGCUCAACGCAGGCGAGUCGCCUGAAUAAACUUGCAUGGAAUAAUAGAACAAGACCUCGUUUCUGUUCUGUUGGUUUUUGGAAUACGAGGUAAUGAUUAAGAGGGACAGACGGGGGCAUUCGUAUUGCGGCGCUAGAGGUGAAAUUCUUGGACCGUCGCAAGACGAACUACUGCGAAAGCAUUUGCCAAGAAUGUUUUCUUUGAUCAAGAACGAAAGUCAGAGGUUCGAAGGCGAUCAGAUACCGCCCUAGUUCUGACCAUAAACGAUGCCAACCAGCGAUCCCGCCUGAGUUACUCAAAUGACUCGGCGGGCAGCUUCCGGGAAACCAAAGUGUUUGGGUUCCGGGGGAAGUAUGGUUAUCUGUCUCGCGUGUGUACGGAAGGGCACCACCAGGAGUGGAGCCUGCGGCUUAAUUUGACUCAACACGGGAAAACUUACCCGGCCCGGACACUGGGAGGAUUGACAGAUUGAGAGCUCUUUCUUGAUUCGGUGGAUGGUGGUGCAUGGCCGUUCUUAGUUGGUGGAGCGAUUUGUCUGGUUAAUUCCGAUAACGAACGAGACUCUAGCCUAUUAAAUAGGUGCGGGGUUCCCAGCACCUUACAACCUUCUUAGAGGGACAAGCGGCUCCUAGCCGCACGAACAGAGCAAUAACAGGUCUGUGAUGCCCUUAGAUGUCCGGGGCCGCACGCGCGCUACACUGAAGGAAGCAGCGUGUCUUUAUCCCUGUCUGAAAGGACUGGGUAACCCGUGGAACUUCUUUCGUGAUUGGGAUAGGGGCUUGCAAUUGUUCCCCUUGAACGAGGAAUUCCCAGUAAGCGCGAGUCAUAAGCUCGCGUUGAUUACGUCCCUGCCCUUUGUACACACCGCCCGUCGCUACUACCGAUUGAAUGAUUUAGUGAGGUCUUCGGACCGAUGUCCGGCGCGGCCUUUCGGUUGCGCCGGUCUGUUGGAAAGAUGACCAAACUUGAUCAUUUAGAGGAAGUAAAGUCGUAACAAGGUUUCCGUAGGUGAACCUGCGGAAGGAUCAUUA
rnacentral:rRNA from 1 species